AAGACUAUAGACCUGCGGAGUACCUGCGGAGGGAUCAUUACUGAGUGCGCCCCCGUAAAAAAGGGGCCCCUCCCGUCCUUUGCUGGCUCCUCAGAGAGCUUUUUAUUUUCUGCUUCGGCGGGGUUACCCGCCGGAACACCCUCAAAACUCUUUGACAAACCGUUCCGUCCGAGGUUUUUUUUGCGAAUAAGAAAAACUUUUAACAACGGAUCUCU
rnacentral:misc_RNA from 1 species